UACGUUCAAAUCACGCUGAAACACCGGUUCUCGUUCGAUCACCGAAGUUAAGCAUCGUAGAGCCAGGUCAGUACUUAGAUGGGGGACCGCUUGGGAACACCUGGUACUGUAAG